rnacentral:rRNA from 1 species
GAUGAACGCUGGCGGUAUGCCUAACACAUGCAAGUCGUACGAGAGUUUUUAACUCUAGUGGCGGACGGGUGAGUAACACGUGAGAAUUUGCCUUUAGGAGGGGGACAACAAUUGGAAACGAAUGCUAAUACCCCAUAUGCUUUCGAGUGAAAUGGAUUUUAUCCGCCUAGAGAGAAGCUCGCGGCUGAUUAGCUUGUUGGUAAGGUAAGAGCUUACCAAGGCGACGAUCAGUAUCUGGUUUGAGAGGACGAUCAGACACACUGGAACUGAGACACGGUCCAGACUCCUACGGAGGCAGCAGUGGGGAAUUUCCGCAAUGGGCGAAAGCCUGACGGAGCAAUACCGCGUGAGGGAG